rnacentral:rRNA from 1 species
GUCGAACGAGCGAGAGAGAGCUUGCUUUCUCGAGCGAGUGGCGAACGGGUGAGUAACGCGUGAGGAACCUGCCUCAAAGAGGGGGACAACAGUUGGAAACGACUGCUAAUACCGCAUAAGCCCACGGCUCGGCAUCGAGCAGAGGGAAAAGGAGCAAUCCGCUUUGAGAUGGCCUCGCGUCCGAUUAGCUAGUUGGUGAGGUAACGGCCCACCAAGGCGACGAUCGGUAGCCGGACUGAGAGGUUGAACGGCCACAUUGGGACUGAGACACGGCCCAGACUCCUACGGGAGGCAGCAGUGGGGAAUAUUGCACAAUGGGGGAAACCCUGAUGCAGCGACGCCGCGUGGAGGAAGAAGGUCUUCGGAUUGUAAACUCCUGUUGUUGAGGAAGAUAAUGACGGUACUCAACAAGGAAGUGACGGCUAACUACGUGCCAGCAGCCGCGGUAAAACGUAGGUCACAAGCGUUGUCCGGAAUUACUGGGUGUAAAGGGAGCGCAGGCGGGAAGACAAGUUGGAAGUGAAAUCUAUGGGCUCAACCCAUAAACUGCUUUCAAAACUGUUUUUCUUGAGUAGUGCAGAGGUAGGCGGAAUUCCCGGUGUAGCGGUGGAAUGCGUAGAUAUCGGGAGGAACACCAGUGGCGAAGGCGGCCUACUGGGCACCAACUGACGCUGAGGCUCGAAAGUGUGGGUAGCAAACAGGAUUAGAUACCCUGGUAGUCCACACUGUAAACGAUGAAUGCUAGGUGUGGGGGGACUGACCCCCUCCGUGCCGGAGUUAACACAAUAAGCAUUCCACCUGAGGACUACGACCGCAAGGUUGCAACUCAAAGGAAUUGA